ensembl:snRNA U4 U4 spliceosomal RNA
AGAUCUGUACAGUGGCAGUAUCAUAGCCAAUGAGGUUUAUCCGAAGUAUUAUUAUUGCUAAUUGAAACAAUCUCAGCUUUGGUCCUAGGUAAUAGAGUCACAGGUUUUGGCACCCAGGCCGGAGAGAAAGGGAAUUGG